rnacentral:rRNA from 1 species
CCUACGGGUGGCAGCAGUGAGGAAUAUUGGUCAAUGGGCGAGAGCCUGAACCAGCCAAGUCGCGUGAGGGAAGACGGUCCUACGGAUUGUAAACCUCUUUUGUCAGGGAGCAAGGAGCGCCACGAGUGGUGCGGCGAGAGUACCUGAAGAAAAAGCAUCGGCUAACUCCGUGCCAGCAGCCGCGGUAAUACGGAGGAUGCGAGCGUUAUGCGGAUUUAUUGGGUUGAAAGGGUGCGCAGGCGGAAGCGGCAAGUCAGCGGGAAAAUUGCGGGGCUCAACCUCGCCGAGCCGUUGAAACUGCUCUUCUAGAGUGGGCGAGACGUAUGCGGAAUGCGUGGUGUAGCGGU